UACGAAGGGGGCUAGCGUUGCUCGGAAUCACUGGGCGUAAAGCGCACGUAGGCGGAUUGCUAAGUCAGUGGUGAAAUCCUGGAGCUCAACUCCAGAACUGCCUUUGAUACUGGCAACCUUGAGUCCGGGAGAGGUGAGUGGAACUGCGAGUGUAGAGGUGAAAUUCGUAGAUAUUCGCAAGAACACCAGUGGCGAAGGCGGCUCACUGGCCCGGUACUGACGCUGAGGUGCGAAAGCGUGGGGAGCAAACAGG
rnacentral:rRNA from 1 species